rnacentral:rRNA from 1 species
AUUGAACGCUGGCGGCAUGCCUUACACAUGCAAGUCGAACGGUAACGGGCCUUCGGGUGCCGACGAGUGGCGAACGGGUGAGUAAUGCAUCGGAACGUACCUUUCAGUGGGGGAUAACGUAGCGAAAGUUACGCUAAUACCGCACAUUCUGUGAGCAGGAAAGCAGGGGAUCGCAAGACCUUGCGCUGAUUGAGCGGCCGAUGUCAGAUUAGCUAGUUGGUGAGGUAAAGGCUCACCAAGGCGACGAUCUGUAGCGGGUCUGAGAGGAUGAUCCGCCACACUGGAACUGAGACACGGUCCAGACUCCUACGGGAGGCAGCAGUGGGGAAUUUUGGACAAUGGGGGCAACCCUGAUCCAGCCAUGCCGCGUGAGUGAAGAAGGCCUCGGUUG